CCUACGGGGGGCAGCAGUGGGGAAUAUUGCACAAUGGGGGAAACCCUGAUGCAGCGACGCCGCGUGAAGGAUGAAGUAUUUCGGUAUGUAAACUUCUAUCAGCAGGGAAGAAAAUGACGGUACCUGACUAAGAAGCCCCGGCUAACUACGUGCCAGCAGCCGCGGUAAUACGUAGGGGGCAAGCGUUAUCCGGAUUUACUGGGUGUAAAGGGAGCGUAGACGGUUAUGUAAGUCUGAUGUGAAAACCCGGGGCUCAACCCCGGGACUGCAUUGGAAACUAUGUAACUAGAGUGUCGGAGAGGUAAGUGGAAUUCCUAGUGUAGCGGUGAAAUGCGUAGAUAUUAGGAGGAACACCAGUGGCGAAGGCGGCUUACUGGACGAUGACUGACGUUGAGGCUCGAAAGCGUGGGGAGCAAACAGGAUU
rnacentral:rRNA from 1 species